GUGUCAGCCGCCGCGGUAAUACGUAGGGAGCGAGCGUUGUCCGGAAUCAUUGGGCGUAAAGAGCAUGUAGGUGGAUCAAUUAGUCUGCUGUGAAAGUCAAAGGCUCAACCUUUGAAAGCCGGUGGAUACUGUUGAUCUAGAGUACGGAAGAGGCGAGUGGAAUUCCUGGUGUAGCGGUGGAAUGCGCAGAUAUCAGGAGGAACACCAAUAGCGAAGGCAGCUCGCUGGGACGUUACUGACACUGAGAUGCGAAAGCGUGGGGAGCAAACAGGAUUAGAAACCCGCGUAGUCC
rnacentral:rRNA from 1 species